UUGUUUAAACUUUCUUAGACACAUGAACAUAAUAGGGAUACCUUUGUAACUGGGUCGAACCCCUUUCCAUGGAAAACUUUUAUUUUUUAAAUAAAAAAUUUGUUUUUAUGGUUUGAAUUGCGUCUCGGGGGCUUCCGCAUUCUGAAAGAACAUAUCCAAUCAAUGUUUUGGCUUAAAUAUUAAUUAAAAUCGUGGAAGAUUAUGUAACGGACUGAGGAGAAGCGAGCCAAAUUUAAGUAGCUCUAAAUCGUAUUGGCUACAAGCUAGGCGUUAGCCCUCUUGCCUAAAAUUGCAUCAUGUUUUAUCAUUUAUAAAUCGGUGUGAACGAAUCUAGGGAAAGAGAAUGCCGAGAACGAGGCGAGAUCUGGUCAACCUUCGAAAACUCUUGUGGAAAUCAACGUCCGAUUCUGCCAGGAUGAUUUUCGGAGCUGCUGUCAGGCAAUUUCAAUUUAGGAGCUUGACGAAAUUACAUCACCAAUAGUAGCCAUAUUCGUUUUCGACACUGGAAAGACCGCCGAACGCCCCAACAUAACCAUUUACGAUGAAUGACAAUGCUUUCUUCACCAAGAAAAACCGUAAAUAUUUAUCACUUUCAGUCCGUAUUAAUUACGUUACUGGAAAGUGUGGCAUGACGUGCGGCACGAGGUGGAGGGUCAAUGGAAUCCAUUUGUCUUGUGUAGCCGGCACUUUGAUUCUGUAGAAAACAUUUCUAUUUUUAAAAUGGAAUCCUAGUAGUGACUUUUCUCUUACUGUUAUAUCGAUCAGAUUACUAGACUUCAUGCACCUUGGACGUCAGAGUCUAACCAAGAGGUUUUGCUUCCGGAGCAGAAGAGAAAGUCAUUCGAGUUUUCCAAGCACAUCACAAUUUUCUACAGAAAUUUGCCCGGAUCUGUCGUAUUCAUCAGCCAAUUCCAGAAAAUUUAUCCUUCGCAAAUUUUCGUGACUUAAUCCAAGGCUGGAAACUGAGCGAAAGAUUUCUAAAAUUCAAUGCCGAUAUUUGUGUGAGUGUUAAGUUCUUUAGGGUUUUUUGUUUUAUUUUUCUUGUUUGUUAUUUUACCCGAAGGGUUUCUGAGUGGGUAACUGGAUAUUCGUUUUGCUGGUAUGGGUAGUUUUAGGUCUCAAGUGUAGCGCUAGAUGGUUACUGGUUAAUUAGAAAAUCAAAAGAAAAAAUGGGUUUUCACGUGAAGGCAUUUCAAAUUUCAAUUCGAAUUCUUGUCUAAUUAAACCUUAAUAAUUAAUGCCGUCAAAGAAAUUUUGAUUUUGCCUGCAAAUCACGCAAAAUUUAUUGCAAGUUUUCUUGCUGGGUAUCCGUAAUGUUAAUGGGAAAUCAAUAAAUAGCUAGUAGAGUAGUAGUUGAGAAAAUUUGUCAUUCGAAAAUGCACAGAAUACAGUUAAUAAUUUAUUGUAUGAUUAUGAUUAAUGGUUGAACUGGACGUAUAAUAAUAUAGAUAGCAAAUGUUUUUGGUUUAUGAAAAUGCAGCGACUUGCUGAAAAUUGAAAUUUGAAGUGAAAUACUGUUGACGAAGUUUUGGCUCAGCUUUGUCGCGGCAUGAGCCCCACUCACCGACGAUGACUUAUCUUAAAGCAACACGACGACGAAUCGGACAUUUACCAAAUGGAAAUCAUUUCCUGGGAGUGUCCAAGGGCUUCAGUUCUCUCAGACUACGAGUUAGCAAUUGAAGUUUAAUUUGAAGGAUGAGUGAACUGCUUGCUCCAUUUAAUAUAAUGCUAAACAAAAGAAACUGACCUUGAUUUUGGGACAAGCUAGUCGAAAUCAGAAUAUUCAUUCUUCAUUUGCACAUCGAAAACUGGUGAGAUCAAAGUGGGACGUCAAGACUAGUUAGUGAAUCUAUUUUUCCUAUUUUUUCUUGUCGUUACAAUCGACAGCUGCCGUUCCACUACAUUGUUUUGACAUUUUUCGUCUGUUGCCAGUGUUGCCGAAAUCAUGUCACAAAUGAGAAUGAUCUCGCAAUUCUGCCCGAUGAUCCGAUAUUUAAUUUGAUAAUCGUUCAACGUGCAAAAAAUUGCAAUUGGUAGAGGCAGAGUGCUGUUGGAAUGUCAAACGUCAAACAUCCAUUGAAAGUAAAAAAAAAAAAAAAAGCGGAUGAGAUGUGAGCUGUGGUCGUUCGGCUUAUUUUUAGCUCCACCUAUCUAGUGUAACUUGCUUGAACAAGCGGCCUAGGAAGAGAUAACUGUUCUAGCCGUAGACACCAAUCUUUGUUAAGAGAUCGGAUGCCCAGUCUCUUCGCCUACAUUGAUAAGGUAUCUGGUCGCAUGUGACUUCAGACAACCUUAUUCACCAGACCGACCACUGCAGACAUCCCUCGGGUAUGGAAACGAUUAUACUCACCAGGGGAAUCGAACUCACGGUCUCAAAGUGCUUCGUUUACUGAGUGACGCGUUGUCCGACUCACCUACCCGACCCGCACUGGAUUUACAUUAUUAAGAGACGUAUUUUUAGGUCUACUUUAUUUUAUACCUUGAUGUGGCAUGUUCAUCUGACUAUCAACUCCCAACGACUCUUGUAUGGUCAUUUUAGCAUUUAAUCCCAAAAUAAAUUCUCAAGAAAUUACGAAAUUACAAGAAAAAAAAAUUGAGUAAGGACUGGGGCAAGGACAUUAACAAAUUUUGGCAACGUUGGUGCAACAAUUAAUCGUCGUCUGCCGUUUCAA
rnacentral:lncRNA from 1 species